rnacentral:rRNA from 1 species
GACGAACGCUGGCGGCGUGCUUAACACAUGCAAGUCGAACGGAAAGGCCCUGCUUUUGUGGGGUGCUCGAGUGGCGAACGGGUGAGUAACACGUGAGUAACCUGCCCUUGACUUUGGGAUAACUUCAGGAAACUGGGGCUAAUACCGGAUAGGAGCUCCUGCUGCAUGGUGGGGGUUGGAAAGUUUCGGCGGUUGGGGAUGGACUCGCGGCUUAUCAGCUUGUUGGUGGGGUAGUGGCUUACCAAGGCUUUGACGGGUAGCCGGCCUGAGAGGGUGACCGGCCACAUUGGGACUGAGAUACGGCCCAGACUCCUACGGGAGACAGCAGUGGGGAAUAUUGCCCAAUGGGCGGAAGCCUGAUGCAGCAACGCCGCGUGCGGGAUGACGGCCUUCGGGUUGUAAACCGCUUUCGCCUGUGACGAAGCGUGAGUGACGGUAAUGGGUAAAGAAGCACCGGCUAACUACGUG